rnacentral:rRNA from 1 species
UACGGAGGGUGCGAGCGUUAUCCGGAUUCACUGGGUUUAAAGGGUGCGUAGGUGGGAAUGUAAGUCAGUGGUGAAAUCUCUGAGCUUAACUCAGAAACUGCCAUUGAUACUAUGUUUCUUGAAUUUUUCUGGAGGUCAGCGGAAUAUGUCAUGUAGCGGUGAAAUGCUUAGAUAUGACAUAGAACACCAAUUGCGAAGGCAGCUGGCUACAGGGAUAUUGACACUGAGGCACGAAAAGCGUGGGGGAUCAAAACAGG